AUUCAGAAAGAGGAAGAAAGUCUCUUACCAAGGUACAGUCCACAUAUAUUUCCAGCUGGAAGCACGAUGUUUCAGAAUAAGGAGAAGUGCAACUCAUUCAAGUUCAAUGGUACUUAUUCCCAGGACAAGAUGGUAUAUACAACAAAGUAUCUCAAUGACAGGAAAUAGUACUUGCAGCGUUUUUUCUCAUCAGCUAUGGUCCUUGGAGUGUCAACUAAACAAAGCAAGGAAAAACUCAACUAAUUAGUCAGCAUUUCUGAAUGGCUCUAACAGCGCUGAUGUCAGAAUUCCUCUCCCUACCCCCCACCUCAUUUCCUCUGAUGUUAUCAGCUCAAACAGCGACUUGGUGCUACUCAAGCUGUAGCAGCAGCAGGAGCAACAGCAA